AACGAACGCUGGCGGCAUGCCUAACACAUGCAAGUCGAACGCGUGUAGCAAUACACGAGUAGGCGGACGGGUGAGUAACGCGUGGGAACCUGCCCAAUGGUAGGGAAUAACUGCGGGAAACUGCAGCUAAUACCCUAUGCUCCCUACGGGGGAAAGAUUUAUCGGCAUUGGAGGGCCCGCGUCGGAUUAGCUAGUUGGCGGGGUAACGGCCCACAAGGCUACGAUCCGUAGCUGGUCNGAGAGGAUGAUCAGCCACACUGGGACUGAGAUACGGCCCAGACUCCUACGGGAGGCAGCAGUGGGGAAUA
rnacentral:rRNA from 1 species